GACGAACGCUGGCGGCGCGCCUAACACAUGCAAGUCGAACGGAGCUGAGAGGAGCUUGCUUUUCUUAGCUUAGUGGCGAACGGGUGAGUAACGCGUGAGUAACCUGCCCUGGAGUGGGGGACAACAGUUGGAAACGACUGCUAAUACCGCAUAAGCCCACGGAUCCGCAUGGAUCUGCGGGAAAAGGAUUUAUUCGCUUCAGGAUGGACUCGCGUCCAAUUAGCUAGUUGGUGAGGUAACGGCCCACCAAGGCGACGAUUGGUAGCCGGACUGAGAGGUUGAACGGCCACAUUGGGACUGAGACACGGCCCAGACUCCUACGGGAGGCAGCAGUGGGGGAUAUUGCACAAUGGGGGAAACCCUGAUGCAGCGACGCCGCGUGGAGGAAGAAGGUUUUCGGAUUGUAAACUCCUGUCGU
rnacentral:rRNA from 1 species